ensembl:lncRNA
GAAGGAGGGAUAACGUAGAAAAGAGAUCUCCCUCCUCCUUCCACCCUGGUCUCCCUUCCCCUCCCCUCUCCUUCCUCCAGCAGAGGGUGGAAUCUCCCGACGUUGUGGGAGCCGGCGGUCAGAGAGGGGCUCGCCUCUUGUUGUUCCCCUCAACAUUCUGCAGAAUGGGUAGUCAAAACUGCCCUGACACCUGGACGUCUGCAUGAGGGAUGGUCACAGAAGGAGGAAGUCUCAGAGGCCAUAGGAGCUAAAGAGUCUAUGCAGAUGAGCUCUGGAGUCCCAGGAGUCUCCUGCUGAAGAAAGAAUCUAAAGAGAUGCCUAAGUUCCAGGGGAUUUUCCUCUAAGACUAAUAACAUCAAGAUAGCUUUGAUUUUAUUUAUUUAUAUUCAUUCUUUUUUUCCACAAGAGAAAUAUAUAUCAUCUUCAGAGAUCUUGGGUUAGAAUUUUUUAUUUCACUGUUGCUGGUUGAAGAUGAAUCUCAAACCCUGAUGCUGUAUUUUUGUUCAUUUCAUGAAGAAUUUCAGAUGGUGCUUGACAACUGAUACCUCCUAUAAAACCAACAAAUACUGUCAUACCCUGUGUCUAUUAAAGAUAUCUCCCAAGUGUCAUUUCACCAAGUAAAGAAUUUGAACCACCUCACACUGUACAUUUUUGGUUAAAUAUUUGAGAGCUAUUAUUUUGAAAGUCACCCAUAGUAAUUAAUAGCCAAGUCAAAAAACUUAAAAUUUGGGGUCUGUUUCUACAUUUAUACUCCAUCUUCUCCCUCUUUAAGUUCUCCUGGAAACAAAACAGAGUAUCCCUCUUCCAGCAAACCACUUUCAAAAUUCCAUGUAAGAAAAUACCAAACUUGAAAUUAUGAAACAUCACCAUCAGUUUCUGAGGAUGCCGGAACUAGAACUCAACCAGAAACUUUAUAAUUUAGGACUUGAGAGCCUAGAACAUUAACGUCUGAAUUGGAAUGGUAUUGGCUCCAAGGUUAAAAAUAGAGGACCACGUUUUUAUUGCCUGUGGUUAUGACAUACUCCCCAUGAAUACCAGUAGGGCUCAAACGUGUACCGAAGGCAGCUGAAGGGUAAAUAAAUUAACUGAAAUGACUCAGAAAGCACCGAGGGGGCCGAAGUGUGUAGUUGUAAUAAGGGACUUUGUUCUUGAGAACAACUCUAACUCAGAACUCAAGGAACAGAGCCUCAAAGAAUUAUAGCACUUAAAUGAGUUUCAUUUAUAAGCUUUCUCCACAGACAUGGAAAAGAAUACACGUAUGAUGACUUAAAGGGACCAUUAUUAUGUUUGGAAGUUCUGGGCACUUACCAGACAUUCAAUCCAAUGCACUUUUCCUUUUAACCCAGCAGAAUACCUGAGUCAUGUGUACUAAGAAUGUUUCAGAAAAAUAGGGACUUCCUUGGCUGCCCAGUGGUUAGGACUUCAUUCUUCCACUGCAGGGGGCGCUGGUCCCAUCCCUGGUGAAGGUACUAAGAUCCCACAUGCUGUGAGUGGCAAAAAAAUAAAAAAUAAAAUUUUAACAAUAGAUAAAAUAAAAAGACUAAAAUACAUUGAUGUAAAGACCUUGAGAUUUUCUUCAAUCCCUCUUGCCAGCUUACUGCUUGUAACAGCUUCCUGCUAAGGCAAUGAGCUACUACUGAAGCUUAUCUUUGUAGAAUAUUUUUUUCUCAGUGAUUUUUCUGCACUUAACCUGGCUGCAUUUUUCUGUGCCAGGACAAGACCUGGUUGUCCAUUGUCUUUCAUGAAGGCAUCUGUGGAAGGUUUUGAAGUCCACUGGUUAAGAGGAAAAAGUGCUCUCGUGUUUGAUCAGUGCGUAGGCAAAGGACGGUUGGAAACAAUGCUGAAUCACACUCAAAACAGCUGCAUUUGCAAACAAAGUGAGAGGCCUCCACUGUGGGCUUUGAAGUCCCAAACCUGGGUUCUGGCAUUGGCUGCAAUCAAGGGCACACCUCUCAGUGACUCUCAGCUUCACUUACCUUUUGGUUAAAUACCAACAUUUAUCGAGCACUUACUAUAUACUAAGCACUUUUAGUCAUUUAAACCUCACAACAAUCCUGUGGAGUAAGCAUUAUUUUCACCCCCAUUUUACAGAUAAGUAAACUGAGGCUCAGAAAGUCUAUGAAACUUGUUCAGAGUUACACAGCUUAGAAGACUAAGAAGACCAACAUUCAAAUUCUCCUCAGUCUCAUUUCAGAGUCUGAGCUUUUAGUCACCCUGAAAUGGGUCUAAGAACAACACUGUUAUUGACGGUGUGAGGAUCAAAAGAGAUAAUGUUUGUAAAAAGCACCAAAUUCAUAUACACAUGGGAGGUAUUAAAAUUAUUAGAAUGAGGUCAUUUAAGAAAAGGGAAAACUAAGAAAUAGUUAUAUGACAUGGUUAUGGAAAAAUACUUUCAAAUGCCUAUAAACCAGAGCUUACUUGUUCCUUGUAAACCAGCGUAGAAUUUCGUGACACAUUAUGUUUCUUGACAGUACCCCAUCAAAAUAUGAAAUAUGAUAUGUUACAUAAUCAGGUAUAAUGAAUGACCAUUCCACUUUAUUUUUUGUUUUGUUUUUUAUUUUAAAUUUAUUUUUUAAUUGAAGGAUAAUUGCUUUAUAGUAUUGUUGGUUUCUGCCAAACAGACCAUUCCACUUUAGAUCGUAUCUGUUUUUGAAAGCUGGGCAAGCUGAAAGACAAAGAGGAGCAACUCCGAUCCAUUGUUAACUCUGAGUCAAGCUGCACUGGUUUGCUAUUUUAUUUAAGUUAUGAACACAUUUGCACAGAAAUUUAGCUCAGACACCCAGGAAUAAUAACAUAGGUUACCAGUAUUUUAAAAAGUAUUAUUUGUUGCUUAUAGGACAAAAGAGGAUCAGAGUCUAUGAGAUGAAGACAUAAUGUUCCUUAAAUCACCACCACAAUCCCAAGUUCUUUUACUUUCAAAUAGAAAUUUAAAAGGACCUCAACAAGCAGUAAAUUUAGAAACACAAUGAUCAAGAUGUUUUGUAGACGAAUAGUUAAAAGCAACCCAAACAAACAACACAAACCCCCAAGGAUAUUGAAAAGAUUUAUUCGUGUUACAUAUGCUCUUUCUCAGAAAUAUAUAAAAGCCAAGUGUUUGACCCCAAAGCCAAAAUAUACUUUCCCCUCCAUGGGAUCCGUGAGUUCCUCAGCUCCGCAAAGAGCUCUGCUUUUGCUGCGUGAACCUGCCUUCUGUGGUUAGAACUCUGUUGACAGGUGUUGUAUGAGAUGGAAGAGAAGGCUCAGACCCUUGUUCCUUCUCUGGGUCAGGAACUCAUCAAGAACCCUUCAGUCAUCAGUAGGACAGUGAUCAUCAGUAGGACAUGGCCCAACUAGAUGGAGUCUCUUGUGCGAACCACUUCUUAGAGUCCAACAACUGGCUUGCCUUUUCCUAGUUCCCAUAGUACUGAUGGAAUUGAUCAAAGUGAUUGGUUAUUUUAGGGUUAUGCAGACAGAUAUGAAUGUAGAAUAAUAGGUAGAUCAAGAGUAAAGGAACUGUGGUCACACAUAUGUCGCAAAAUGAAAAUGAAAACCCUUGUUACCAGAUACUGCACCCUUUGUGGAGCCAAGGACUGAAAAUUUAGAAUUCAUAUUUAUAUCCCUUAUAAAGAAUUUUUUCCAAAUUCUUAAGCUUGAUGGUAACAGUAAUUCCCCACCUUUUUAGUUGGGGAUAUUUUACCUGGUAGAUGUCCUUUUUUUCUGAAUUAUGAGUCCAUAGAUAGAAAAUACCUUUCAGAGCUAUAAAUUUACAUCAUAUUUAGAGCAUGUCUAAUAAUUCAUUUUUUAUUGAAAAGAAUAGCAAUUUAUGAAAUUGGGGCUACACCAGAAAAUCCACACUGAAUGGUUUCCAUCCUUAUGGGUUAUCCUAGCUGAUCUCUAUCUGCUGGGUCAUAAAGGUUUCUCUUCUGAAAAUCAAAGGUUUAGUUGAGUCACAGCACCAGUUAUGUAGCUGGUGCUACAAUCUUGCUACUUUUGUUCAAAAAUAGGAAAGGGUUUGCACCCUAAACAAUUUGAAGUGGUUUUGUAAAGGUGCAUGAGCUCUGUCCUUGGAGAAGGUAAACCAGAGAUGGGUUAUCCUAGGAAGGAAGAAACAGGAUGAGGUAACUGAAUGCCCUGUACAGUGUUUGAGGGACAGGGAAAUUUACACUCUUACUAUUUUAAUCCCUAUGGAACCCUAUUAACUUCUCAGAGCCCUUGGCCACCAACUAAACUUUUAUUAUCUGAAGUUGGAACUUCACUUGCAUUCAAUCAGUGAGAAUACUGAAAAUCCAUUGUAGGGUAAAUAGAAGAGGAUAUGUGAUAAAGGAGGUGACCAGAUUUUAUAAAUGAAAGAUUUGCAACUAACUGAUGGAAUCUGCAAUGUUUUGAAAGGUUCUAUUCCAGACUUACUAGUCUCACGUCCUUUCACCUUAAUUUUACUAGUUGAUGCGCUUUGAAAAGAAAAGAGGGCAAGAAUAAGGAACCAUCACAUAAGAAAUGAAGACAUGAAUCUCCUUGAGAAAAAUUUUUUUGGAGGAGAAAAGCUUAUAAAAAUUUAUCUAGGUACACCCAAACCAAAAUGGCUUAAUAAAGGACCAUUUUGGAAAAGGCAGUCUCAUGAAUUUUAACAUCAAGAGGGAAUCAAACAGUUCUACAGGCUAUGUGAUUAAAUCCUUUUCUGUUUUGAACAUUUUUUUUUCCUUUAGGUUAGCUCAAUUUGUUUAAUAGUGAAUAAAUGCUAUUUAUGAUAUCAAAGAGGUACUUUGUGGGUUUCAACAAUAACAGUAAGGAAAAAUAAUAUUGCUAGAGUCAUGUUUUAAGAUCAACUGAUUAACAAAAUUCAAGGCCUUGUAUGGUUUUUGGAUCUUGUGGCUACAGCUUUACCUCCCAAGUUUUAUUCUGAAGUGAGAGUAUAAUUUAUUUUAAAUGGCCGAAAAUAAAGAAUUCCAUGCAAGGUCUUGUUUUAUCAACAUAGCAAUAGCAAUUGUUGGAGCUGUAAGCUGACAUUCAUUAGAACUUCUGAAUCCAUCAUAUUUUUAAAAAUUUUAUUUUUUUUUUACUAUUUUCUUUUUCAGUUUUAUUGAGAUAUAACUGACAUACAACACUCUAUAAGUUUAAGGUGCACAGCAUAAUAACUUGACCU